AGAUUCCUCUUUAUUUUUCUACAUUCCCAUCAGCCAAAAACGUCCUAAGCGUUUCUUCAAGCUGGUUUUUCAUAAUUUUUGCACCAAAUCCGGAAAAUUCAAAUACGAAGCAAGAUCGAGGGAAAGAAAAAGUUUGGGAUUAGUAGAUUUUUGGUUACGAACAAGUGUCGAGUGUUAAGAGCUCGGAGGUCGGAUUUGGUCGGAGACGCAUCACACUAUCAACCUCAAGAUCUCGGUAUAUAAAGAAACUUUAUUUUGGAAAUCAAUGGCAUGUAUAAG